rnacentral:misc_RNA from 1 species
AUUCAAAGCAAAUUAAACAAUCGCAAAUUAAACAAAUAUAUACAGAUUAUUUGAGGAAGACCCAAAUACAUGAAGUUGGGAAGAGUUGGUGGAGGUUGCUUAACCUUCAAACUUCAAUAACAGAAUAGGCGACGAGGAGACAAAACUUGAGGGUGCUGGCCGGCCGGGGAAGCUUGAAUGCAAGGAGAACGAGAUGGCUGAGUCGUGAGUGAGGGUUAUGAGGCUAGAGGGAAAGAAUCGCUUCGCUUGAAACAAGACGCGAUGGAGAAAUGGCAAAGAGAGCCGAUGGUGGAUGAAGUAUGGGAGUGAGGGCUGUGAGGCUACAGUCGAUGAUGGAAGAUAAUGGGAAAGGAAUGAGAAGAAGGGGAAAUGAUAGAACAGAGAGAUAGAAAGAAAGCGAGAUGGGCACUGGAUAGCAGAUGAGAACUGGGAAAGAAGAAAGGCAAUAAGGAAGUAGGGGUAG